CUAACAACCGAACUCACGUGCCCUCGGUACAAUCUGAUGCAAAAACAGUAAUCUGGGUCCACCGUCAACCCCAACGGCACUCGACAGUCCGGAACAGUCUAAAUACUGCUGUAAAAAUAAGCUCGGCAUCCCAGCACGAUCGUAAAAUAUUCUACACUAUCCUGGGUAUCCACCGCCCACAAACUGCGGUGAUACAAACAAACUACGGCUCCUAGUGCUAAAUCUGGUA
rnacentral:lncRNA from 1 species